GAGGGGGAUAACUACUGGAAACGGUGGCUAAUACCGCAUAACGUCGCAAGACCAAAGAGGGGGACCUUCGGGCCUCUUGCCAUCAGAUGUGCCCAGAUGGGAUUAGCUUGUUGGUGAGGUAACGGCUCACCAAGGCGACGAUCCCUAGCUGGUCUGAGAGGAUGACCAGCCACACUGGAACUGAGACACGGUCCAGACUCCUACGGGAGGCAGCAGUGGGGAAUAUUGCACAAUGGGCGCAAGCCUGAUGCAGCCAUGCCGCGUGUAUGAAGAAGGCCUUCGGGUUGUAAAGUACUUUCAGCGGGGAGGAAGGUGUUGUGGUUAAUAACCGCAGCAAUUGACGUUACCCGCAGAAGAAGCACCGGCUAACUCCGUGCCAGCAGCCGCGGUAAUACGGAGGGUGCAAGCGUUAAUCGGAAUUACUGGGCGUAAAGCGCACGCAGGCGGUCUGUCAAGUCGGAUGUGAAAUCCCCGGGCUCAACCUGGGAACUGCAUUCGAAACUGGCAGGCUUGAGUCUUGUAGAGGGGGGUAGAAUUCCAGGUGUAGCGGUGAAAUGCGUAGAGAUCUGGAGGAAUACCGGUGGCGAAGGCGGCCCCCUGGACAAAGACUGACGCUCAGGUGCGAAAGCGUGGGGAGCAAACAGGAUUAGAUACCCUGGUAGUCCACGCCGUAAACGAUGUCUACUUGGAGGUUGUGCCCUUGAGGCGUGGCUUCCGGAGCUAACGCGUUAAGUAGACCGCCUGGGGAGUACGGCCGCAAGGUUAAAACUCAAAUGAAUUGACGGGGGCCCGCACAAGCGGUGGAGCAUGUGGUUUAAUUCGAUGCAACGCGAAGAACCUUACCUGGUCUUGACAUCCACGGAAGUUUUCAGAGAUGAGAAUGUGCCUUCGGGAACCGUGAGACAGGUGCUGCAUGGCUGUCGUCAGCUCGUGUUGUGAAAUGUUGGGUUAAGUCCCGCAACGAGCGCAACCCUUAUCCUUUGUUGCCAGCGGUCCGGCCGGGAACUCAAAGGAGACUGCCAGUGAUAAACUGGAGGAAGGUGGGGAUGACGUCAAGUCAUCAUGGCCCUUACGACCAGGGCUACACACGUGCUACAAUGGCGCAUACAAAGAGAAGCGACCUCGCGAGAGCAAGCGGACCUCAUAAAGUGCGUCGUAGUCCGGAUUGGAGUCUGCAACUCGACUCCAUGAAGUCGGAAUCGCUAGUAAUCGUGGAUCAGAAUGCCACGGUGAAUACGUUCCCGGGCCUUGUACACACCGCCCGUCACACCAUGGGAGUGGGUUGCAAAAGAAGUAGGUAGCUUAACCUUCGGGAGGGCGCUUACCACUUUGUGAUUCAUGACUGGGGUGAAGUCGUAACAAGGUAACCGUAGGGGAACCUGCGGUUGGAUCACCUCCUUA
rnacentral:rRNA from 1 species